rnacentral:lncRNA from 1 species
GGUGUACAUGGCUUCAACUUUCGCAACAAUCUACUUGACCACCCCUUCAAUGCUAUAUGUUCGAUGGAUGUGAGGGGUGUCAGGAGAGCCACGUGCUACUACUACUGAUGUAGAUGUCGGUGCUGGUGCUAAAAAAGAAGGUCCUAUGGCUGGUGCUGAUGAGGAUGGGCCGACUGCUGCAGAUAGAGAGUGAGAAGGU